GCCAGAUAAAUUGAGAAUUGUGUUCGACGCUGCUUCUAGGAGUCAUGGGUAUUGCCUUAAUGAUUUUUUGCUAACAGGACCUGACAUUUACAAUCAACUGUCAUCUGUCCUCAUGAAUUUCCGUGAACACAAAAUUGUUUUUGUCGGUGACAUAAAAGAAAUGUUUCUACAAAUAAAAGUUCAACAGACAGAUCGACCAGCCCAGAGAAUUUUGUGGCGUGAAAAUAGACGGCAAGGUAUACCAGGCAAACCAGAAAUACAAGUUUUAUUUUUUGGAGAUAAAUGCAGUCCAAGUAUUGCACAACAAACAAAAUAGGAAAACAUUAAAUGGACGACUACUUGGGAGGAGCAGAUGACAUUAUCAGUGCCAUACAACUGAUUAAAGAUGUUACAUAUGUACAUCAGCAAGAUCUCUAAGGGAACUUCUGAAAUUGGAAAGGCGACCGACGAAACGUGAAAUACUUAAGAAUACGAUGCCAAUUUUUGAUCCACUCGGAUUUCUUUCCAAUUUGCUCAUAUCGAAUAAAAUACUGUUACAAGCAAUCUGGGAUAGUGGAAUCAACUGGGACGACCCUAUCAUAGAUGACCAUUUUGAUUUGUGGAAAGAGCUAUGUAAUUCGUUUGAUAAAAUAAGUAACUUCAGUGUGCCAAGACUUAUGACAAAACUUCCA